CCCAGAGGGUGAGAAUCCCGUAUACGGCUGGUGGACAAGCCCGUGUGAAGCCCUUUCGACGAGUCGAGUUGUUUGGGAAUGCAGCUCUAAAUGGGUGGUAAAUUUCAUCUAAAGCUAAAUAUUCGCCAAAGACCGAUAGCGCACAAGUAGAGUGAUCGAAAGAUGAAAAGCACUUUGAAAAGAGAGUUAAAAAGUACGUGAAAUUGUUGAAAGGGAAGCGCUUGCAACCAGACUCGCUCGCGGGUGCUCAGUCGUCCCUCGGGGCGGUGCAUUCUCCCGCGAUCGGGCCAGCAUCGGUUUCGGCGGUCGGAUAAAGGCCCCGGGAAUGUAGCUCUUCGGAGUGUUAAGCCCGGGGUGCAAUGCGGCCAGCCGAGACCGAGGACCGCGCAUUUCGUUAGGAUGCUGGCGUAAUGGUUGCCAGCGACCCGUCUUGAAACACGGACCAAGGAGUCGACCAAUCGAGCGAGUAUGUGGGUACGACACCCAAAUGCGUAAUGAAAGUAAACGGAGGUGGGAGCCCUUCGGGUGCACCAUCGACCGAUCCUGAUGUUUUCGGAUGGAUUUGAGUAUGAGCCCGGCUGGUCGGACCCGAAAGAUGGUGAACUAUGCCUGGAUAGGGUGAAGCCAGAGGAAACUCUGGUGGAGGCUCGCAGCGGUUCUGACGUGCAAAUCGAUCGUCAAAUUUGGGCAUAGGGGCGAAAGACUAAUCGAACCAUCUAGUAGCUGGUUCCCGUCGAAGUUUCCCUCAGGAUAGCAGCAACGGAAACAGUCUCAUGAGGUAGAGCGAACGAUUAGAGGCCUUGGGGUUGAAACAACCUUAACCUAUUCUCGAAC
rnacentral:rRNA from 1 species